GACGAACGCUGGCGGCGUGCCUAAUACAUGCAAGUCGAACGCUGAAGAGAGGAGCUUGCUCUUCUUGGAUGAGUUGCGAACGGGUGAGUAACGCGUAGGUAACCUGCCUUGUAGCGGGGGAUAACUAUUGGAAACGAUAGCUAAUACCGCAUAACAAUGGAUGACACAUGUCAUUUAUUUGAAAGGGGCAAUUGCUCCACUACAAGAUGGACCUGCGUUGUAUUAGCUAGUAGGUGAGGUAACGGCUCACCUAGGCGACGAUACAUAGCCGACCUGAGAGGGUGAUCGGCCACACUGGGACUGAGACACGGCCCAGACUCCUACGGGAGGCAGCAGUAGGGAAUCUUCGGCAAUGGGGGCAACACUGACCGAGCAACGCCGCGUGAGUGAAGAAGGUUUUCGGAUCGUAAAGCUCUGUUGUAAGUCAAGAACGAGUGUGAGAGUGGAAAGUUCACACUGUGACGGUAGCUUACCAGAAAGGGACGGCUAACUACGUG
rnacentral:rRNA from 1 species